UUUAAUUCCUAUAUAUACGCCAGGUAGAGGCCAUAUUACUGAACGCCUCCCAGCCUCCGGAAGGGGGAAGGCGGGAGGAUGUCUGAGAUCUCGGCAAUGGAUCUUUGAGAGCAGUAUUGUGGUGGGUUAGAUCAUUAUCAUCUGAUCUCUUCAGAAUUUUCGUUUUGUUGUAAUACCUUCUUUUAUGGCUUCCUUAUUCCUCAUCGUUCAGGCUACGUCUGUGAGAUAACCCACCCACCAAUCCUGCCAAGCGCAAGUCACUACGAGUUCCUUUUUUUUCUUUCUUUAUUUUGGUUUGGGCUUUUUUUUUUUUUCUUUAGUGAUUGAUUUACUUUAUAACAUUCAAAGAAUCAUCUUAUGCUUUUGGAGUAAUUCUCCUGUUGAGGAUUUGAAGUUUUCAGCUAUAAGCUUAAUCAAACAAAAAUCAUACUAUGAAACUUGAGUCUGAUUGCCGCGUAGGGGACAGAUAGGCGUUGUUGCUGCAGAACAAACUGAGUAAAUUAGUUAUAGUUUUGAGAAGAUGAAUACUGGAAAUGGAGACACUUGAGGCGGCAUGGUUCCAAAAAAAGGUCCUAAUGGGCUGCUUUGCUUUCCCUUUGAUGCCCUACUGCUGCAGAGGAAGGAAUAGAGUAGUAGUAAUGAUGGGUGGCGACUGAGGGAUAUUCUUCGCUGGAGGAGCAGGAAAAGAUAGUGAGCUUCCCCAGAUUGCCUCCCACUUAGACCACACGAUGGAUCAUCUUCUCCCAGCCACAACGUGAUUCCGGAUUGAAGUAAUCUUGCAACACCGAUGGCCAUGUUCCUCCUAUCACUGAGACAAAAGUUUACAGCAAAUCCAUCAUUCACUCUAAAGAUCUGUAGCUUCUGAGCAGCAUGGGCAUUAUAAUCCUCAGAUCAUUCUCAGAUGUUCAAGUUGCUGCAGAUUAUACCUUCUGGUAGAGAUAACUUGGAAAACAGUUUCUGGAUCGAGGUUGUUGACACUGAUCUCUUGGGGGUUUCUUUGAACCCCAUGAAGUCGUUAGAUCUUAUUGAUGGGGGCAAGGAAACUUUAUCAUCCUCUUUGGAUAUCAAUGAUGAGACAUGUUCUUGUUCUUCUGCUGCAUUAGCAGAGGAAUCAUUGGAUUUUGAUGAGAUUGAGGAUUUGAGGCUGCAUAAGAAAUUGUUCUACAAUCUCAACAAGGGUUAUAAAGAAUUCAAAGGGUAUAAUAUACAGUUCCAUCGCAAGAAAUCAGCUAAAAAGAGUCAUGAAAGGACAACAAAACUGAUAUAAAGGACUUCAAUGAUGUAGAAGAAGAAACAAAAAGUUAUUAAGCCAAAUGGGGGAAAAAAGGGGUGAGAAUGCUGACAAUUAACCAGCUCACUGAUCCAUACCUUCUACCAUUCUGUCUUGAUAAUCUAUGUUUCCAAAAGGGUCAGUUCGUGCUUGCACUUUUCAUAGGAUCAUGAGCAAGGUGAUCGCUGUGGCACACUCUAUCUUGGAAGGACAUAAAGUUUGACUUAAAGUCAAGGAAAGAUGCAUCUGCUUGUACUGCUGUUGGAAUAGUUUUGGCCCAACGUGCAAUUGAAGAUGAUAUUCACAAUGUGGUCUGCACACCAAGAAAAGGGGAAUGAAUUGAAGGGAAGAUUCAGAUUGUCUUCAAUUGAUCAUUGAUCAUGGUAUUGGUGUGAAGGUGAAGCUGAAGCAAAGCGGCCUACCAAGGUCGGUGGGCACUUGCUAGACGAGCCGGAUUUGUAUCUUGUUUCUUUUGUGCCAUAUAUUUGCAUGGGACGUUAAUUGUUUGCUUCAGCAUUUUGUUCAACGAUCACAUUCAAACUGCCGAAGUAAGAGAUGUUUGGCUGUCGUAGAAGUUUAUCAAUAGAAUAGAAUAGGAUGUAUGAAUGGUUACCUAAAGAAAAGCAGGGGUAUGUUUUGUACCAUAAACAAGCCUCUCGUAGACUUUAGGGAAAUUAUAUUCAUUGUUAUUGGGUGAACCUUCGUACAUUGUUAAUGGCAGAUGGUUCAGUAAACAAUGAAACAUUGUCGAUUAAUGAUGCAGUGCAUGUCAUAAUAGCAAAUAAGAUGUGUUUUUAUAUUUC